rnacentral:rRNA from 1 species
GUGCCAGCGCCGCGGUAAUACCGGCAGCCCAAGUGAUGGCCGCUGUUAUUGGGCCUAAAGCGUCCGUAGCUGGCUGCGCAAGUCCGUCGGGAAAUCCACCCGCCCAACGGGUGGGCGUCCGGUGGAAACUGCGUGGCUUGGGACCGGAAGGCGCGACGGGUACGUCCGGGGUAGGAGUGAAAUCCCGAAAUCCUGGACGGACCGCCGAUGGAGAAAGCACGUCGCGAAGACGGAUCCGACAGUGAGGGACGAAAGCUAGGGUCUCGAACCGGAUUAGAAACCCGUGUAGUCC